rnacentral:rRNA from 1 species
AACGAACGCUGGCGGCAUGCCUAACACAUGCAAGUCGAACGAGACCUUCGGGUCUAGUGGCGCACGGGUGCGUAACGCGUGGGAAUCUGCCCUUGGGUUCGGAAUAACAGUUGGAAACGACUGCUAAUACCGGAUGAUGACGUAAGUCCAAAGAUUUAUCGCCCAAGGAUGAGCCCGCGUAGGAUUAGCUAGUUGGUGAGGUAAAGGCUCACCAAGGCGACGAUCCUUAGCUGGUCUGAGAGGAUGAUCAGCCACACUGGGACUGAGACACGGCCCAGACUCCUACGGGAGGCAGCAGUGGGGAAUAUUGGACAAUGGGCGAAAGCCUGAUCCAGCAAUGCCGCGUGAGUGAUGAAGGCCUUAGGGUUGUAAAGCUCUUUUACCCGGGAUGAUAAUGACAGUACCGGGAGAAUAAGCUCCGGCUGACUCCGUG